GAAAAGGCAGAAAGUUGAACUUUGCAGUGAGCUGAUGGUAUUGCCAAACCUGGGUGCUGAUUUUGAAGGACCAAGAGCACUAGAGAGUCUUGAAUGCUCACAGAGUCAGAUGUCAGCUGUUCCAAUCAAAAUUUCUGAGUCUAAAGGGGCAAAACGUAAAAAAGAAAUGGAG